GAUCGCUGUGACGUGGGUGGUUCGCCGCCUUCGAUACUGCAAGAAGUUCAUUGAACCUUAUCAUUUAGAGGAAGGAGAAGUCGUAACAAGGUUUCCGUAGGUGAACCUGCGGAAGGAUCAUUG
rnacentral:rRNA from 5 species